rnacentral:lncRNA from 1 species
UUUUUUCUAUUAGCCGUCUUACAAAUUAUUUUCUUACCAUCUCGUUGUUUCUUACAGGACAUGACUUCAGAGAAUAUUUUUGGCAGGGAGUAUGAGCAUGAUAGACUAUACUACUUUGGGGAUUCGUCAACACCUAAUGAUUUGUCCUCUAGUCUUCAAGCCUUCACUCCACCAGUCUUAGAACCCUCCGUUUCAUUUGUUUUUUCUGUUAAAACUUUAAAUUUGUGGCAUACUCGUCUAGGGCAUGCAAAUUUACAGUAUUUAUGUUGGCUUUUCCCCCUCUCAAUAAAGCAUGCCAGGAAAUUAAUUUUAAAUGUGUCAUUUAUGAAUUGUCUAAACAUACUCGCACUUCUUAUAUUCCUCGCAUGCAUGAUGCCCCUAGUGCUUUUGAUCUUAUUCACUCAGAUGUAUGGUAUCCGUCUCCAAUUACUGCCCUCUCUCAACACCGUUAUUAUGUCAUCUUUAUAGAUGACUACACAUGUUAUACUUAGGUUUAUCUGAUGUGCAAUAAAUUUGAGGUCUUUUUCCACUUUACCCAUUUUUUACAAAUGAUCAAAACCCAAUAUAAUACAGUUGUGUGCACUAUCCGGUCAGAUAAUGGUCGUGAAUAUAUCACGAAUGAGUUUUGUACUAAACUUUAUAAACGUGAUAUACUCCAGCAACUCACUUGUCCUUACACCACUGAGCAAAAUAAAGUGUCGGAGCGAAAAAAACGUCAUAUUAUGUCUAUGGUCCGGUGUUUAUUAUGGGAGAUGGGUUGGUGUUCCUAAAUAUUUCUAGCACAUGACUGUCUUUACUGCCACCUAUAUUAUCAAUCGCACUCCUAGUCGGGUACUACACGGUAAGGCACCGCUCCAUAUCCUUUAGCCUUUUGGUACCUUAUUCCUUAUCCUUCAUCGUGCCUUCAGAUGUACAUGCUUUGUUCAAGUCAGGAGUCCCACUCGUACCAAACCUAAUGAUAAGGCUGUUUGUUGUGUCAUUAUCGGGUAUUCCUCGAUGUCCAAUGGGUAUCGGUGUUAGGAUCCUAUUACUUGUCAUAUGUAUCAUUCGUUGGAUGUCACCUUUUUGAAAACUGUUUUAUUCUUCUCAAAUUCACCAUCUUCUCUGAACCUUGCUUCUGAGUUAAUUGUGGAAGAGGAUUUUGCACCUCCCUGCCCUCUUCCUAUACUUGAGUCUCUUACAUUAUCACCUAGUGGCUCUUUGCCCUCGAGUGUUAUUACCGACCCUUCAUAGGACUACCCCUCAUUGUUCGCAUGCUCUAGCUCCCCUGCCAUCAUCUUCUUUAGAUUCAGGUAUCUCUUCUCCUUUAGUUUCUGAUAUUCCUCCUCCCUAUUAUCCCACAUGUGUUGGUCGCCCUAUUGCAUAGUAUUGUUUUAUCAAGGUCUUUCGGACUUCUAUUAGUCUUUUUUUAGUCCGAUGGACUCGAUCUUGAUUCCUCGCUCUGUCCAUGAAACUCUUCAGAAUCCUCUAUAGGUGUUUGCAAUGAAGGUCGAAAUGGACGCCCUUCACACAAUCGAGCUUGAGAUGUUGUUGCUUUGCCAAAAGGUGGGUGAACUGUUGGUUGUAAAUGGGUGUUCAGUGUGAAAUAUUUGGCAGAUGGUUUAGUAGAUAGAUAUAAAGCUCGCCUUGUUGCUAAAGGCUUUACUCAUAUUGCAAGUAAAGAUUUUGGUGCCACAUUUGUCCUGAUUGCUAAAUUAAACACCAUUCGUCUUCUAAUUUUCCUCCCUACUUUUUAUUCGUGGCAUCUUUAUCAAUUGGAUAUAAAAAAAUGCCUUCCUUAAUAGUGACUUUUCUGAGACUAUAUAUAUAGAUCCACCUUCAGGUUUUCAGGCUCAGGAGUAGUAUUCGGAGAAUAUUUGUCGCCUCCGAAAAAUCUAUCUAUGACCUUAAACAAUCACCUCGGGCUUGGUUUCAUCACUUUAGUGAGAUAGUCUUAUCUAUGGGGUUCGUUCAGUGCCACUUAGAUCAUACCUGCUUUAUUCGUCGCCAAUCUCAGGGUCGGUACAUCAUUAUCUCAAUUUAUGUAGAUGAUAUCAUCAUCACGGUAGACAAUGUUUUUGGUAUUGUUUAGGUGAAACAUGAACUUAUGAGGUCAUUCAACAUUAAGGAUUUGGGAUCUCUUUGUUAUUUUCUGGGUAUUGAGAUUACUCAAUCUUUUCAAGGUAUAUAUCUCUCUCAAAGGAAGUAUUCUCUUGAUCUUCUUCAAGAUACAGGCAUGCUUGGGUGUAGACUUGCAUCUACACUUAUGGUUCCAAAUCUGAUGAUAUCAGGCGAGUCAGGGGAACUGUUACCAGAUCCAUCUAUCUAUCAGCGGCUUGUGAGUCGACUCUUUUAUUUGACAAAUAUAAGGUCGGAUCUCACGUUUGCUAUUAGUGUUGUGAGUCAGUUUAUGCACUCGCCACAUACCACUCAUCUAGAUAUUGUGUAUCACAUUCUUCAGUACCUUAAGACAUGUCUUGGUCUUAGGUUGUUCUACAAGUCUAGAAUCCAGUCGGGCCUCUCAUGUUUUACAAAUGCUGAUUAUGCUAGUUCUAAGAGUGAUAGAGGCUCUACUUCUGAUUUUUGUACUUUUCAUGGUAGUCAUCAAUCUUUGAAAAAUAAGAAGCAAGCAAUGGUCUCUAAGUCUUCUGCUAAAGCUGAGUACCAUGCUAUGGCUCAAGACACAAGUGAGCUUCUUUGGUUUCGAUCUCUUCUGAUUGAGUUGGGCUUCUCAGUGACAGACUCAUCUUCAUUGUUUUGUGAAAAUAAGUCUAUUAUCAUGUUAUCAUUUGAUUCAAUUCUUCAUGAGAGAACGAAGCACAUCGAAGUUGAUAUUCACUUCAUUCGGAAAAAAGUUCGUUUUAAGGUUAUUACUCCUAGUUUUGUCCCAUCUUCUGCUCAGACCGCUAAUAUAUUUACUAAGUCUAUUGAACUCUUAUUGCUGAAGUCAUUUCUUGUCAAGGUGGGGCUCGUCGAUAUCUUCGCCUCAGCUUGUUGGGGAGUGUUGGAAUUAGGAGAUUCAUUUUCUAAUUCUAUUAGGAAGCUGCUGGAAUUAGGAGAUUCAUUUUCUAAUUCUAUUAGCAAGCUGCUGGAAUUAGGAGAUUUGUUUUCUAACCAAAUUAGGAAAUUAUCCAUAAUUUAUUCUCUUUGAUAUCUUUCUUUCUUUAUUUUUUCCUUACUUAGAUAUAGAUUAUAUUAUAUAUUGAUGAAUAGUUGAUGAAAAUAAUAUAAGCUUUUCAUAAUUUUCUAUUCUCAUGUCCCCAACCUCGUCCUCAUUGACGUAUGAUCGAAAUAUCUCCAACAGUUCAUGCUAAUUGUAAACGUCACGCUCGAGAAUGAUCCCUUCGAAUGGCAACUUCUUUCCAAUAAUCUUGUUGAAUAGGUAGUCAUUAAUCAGUUGUUGAUCGGUGGGACGAAAUUUGAUACCUUCACGAAGCCUUUUAGCCAUUGAUCAAACAGUCUUUCUCUGCCGAUUUUCUUUGGAAUGAAUUGCUGGAAAGUAGGGACGGGGAGAGAGAGACAAAGAUGAUCACUGGAAAGGGUUAGAGAAAGCGAGGAAAAAAAAACAAAGAACAGAGAAUGAAGAAAUUCUGUUGUGAGAGACGCAAGUAUGGGACACUGCUGCAUUUCGUUAAUAUAUAGGCGAGUCUUUAGCGAUUUAAUCUGGCACACUGCUGCAUGACAAGCAGCAAAAAAUCACUUUUUUGGACGAAUAGAGUCUUGCCAAGUCAGCACUAGAUGGUAAUUUGACCUGAAAAACCCGAUACCCGACGGGCCCUGCCCGUUUAGGGCGGGUUUGGGGGGAAAAUUAAAACCCGAUUAAUAAUCGGGGCGGGGGCGGGUUUAGCCUCCUCCACCCCGAACCCGCCCCGAUUAUAUAUAAGAAAAUCAAAAUUAUUCAUAUUUUUUUAAAAAUAUACCAUAAUAUCCUUACUAUAUAUAUAUAUAUAUAUAUAUAUAUAUAUAUACCAAUAAUUAUAUAAAAAAAUAUAUAUAAUUAAAAAAAUUAUUAAACGGGGCGGGGCGGGGCGGGGGCGGGGGUGGGUUUUGGUAAACGAGGCGGGGAUGGGGAAGGAAGGUCCAACCCGUUUAUUAAAUGGGGCGGGAGUGGGGGAGACCGAACUCGCCCCGUUGCCAUCCCUAGUCAGCACUGAAUUGGCUCGAACUGAUAUGGGACUCAAAUUUAGAACUUUUAUAGUGUUUGGUUUCUAUGAGAAUUAGGAUUACAACAACUUUUAUGGUGUUUGGUUUCUAUGAGAAUUAGGAUGGGGAGAAAAGGAAUUUGGGAUGACCAAAAUACCCCUUUAAUUGAGGAAACUUUUUUUUUUCAUAAAUGGGUGUUUAUGAAAUUUCUGAGUGAGUCCAGACCAAAGGUAUUAGAUUUCCUACCAAAUUCUGAGUCCAACAAAUGUACUACUAAUUAAUUUGGAAGAAAAGGAAUUUGCAUGGACAGAAAUACCCCUUUGUACUUGAAGGAAAACAUGUUCAAAAUACAUUCGAGAAUAAACUAAAACCUUAUUCUAGAUAUAGAAAAUGUAAGACGUGUGUGCGCUUAUGAUUUUAGGAUGUAUUUUGAACUUAUUUCAUAAUAUUAUAAGGUUACGUAUUUAGGUAAAUUUCACCAACAAUCCCUGUAGUUUGAAAGUUUUACUUUGGUUCUUAUACUUUUGGUUUGAACAAUUAGAACCCUCAAAUUUUAAUUUUAUUUCGACAUAGUCCCUACAUCAAUAAUCGUUAAAAACUUGGACGGAAAGUGAGCGCGUAAAACUCACAUAACCCUUUUUAGAGGGUAAUUUUCUUGAAUAAUUUUAUAGGAUAAUUUUACUACCACUGGUUCCUAUACUUUGGCCAAAGUUUCAAUUUGCUCCCUAAAAAUGGCCACGUGAGUCUCCACACCCUCACUUUUUUUAUAAAUUAUUAACGGGUAUUGAGGGAGCGACUACAUUACAACCAAAAUCAAAUGUUGUAUGCAUUCUAAAUAGUUAAUGUGAAGAACUAAUUUAUGAUGUGAUGAAGGGCAA